rnacentral:rRNA from 1 species
GAUGAACGCUGGCGGCGUGCCUAAUACAUGCAAGUCGAGCGAACGGACGAGAAGCUUGCUUCUCUGAUGUUAGCGCCGGACGGAUGCGUAACUCGUGGAUAACCUACCUCUACGACUGGGGUAACUUCGGGAAACCGGAGCUACUACCGGAUAAUAUUUUGACCCGCAUGGUUCCAACGUGAAAGACGGUCUUGCUUUCGCUAAUAGAUGGAUCCGCGCUGCAUGAGCUAGUUGGUAAGGUAACGGCUUACCAAGGCAACGAUGCAUAGCCGACCUGAGAGCGUGGAUGGACACACGGGAUCUGAGACACAGCCCAGACACUGACAGUGGGAAGCAGUAGAGAAUCUUCCGCGAGGGGCGAGUGCCUGACGGAGCAACGCCGCGGGAGGGAUGAUGGACUUCGGAUCGGAGAGCGCUGUUGGUAGGGAAGAAGAAAUGUGUAAGUAACUGUGCAGAUCUUGACGGUACCGAAUCAGAAAGCCACGGCUAACUACGUG